AGAGUUUGAUCCUGGCUCAGGAUGAACGCUGGCGGCGUGCCUAAUACAUGCAAGUCGAACGAAACUUCUUUAUCACCGAGUGCUUGCGCUCACCGAUAAAGAGUUGAGUGGCGAACGGGUGAGUAACACGUGGGCAACCUGCCCAAAAGAGGGGGAUAACACUUGGAAACAGGUGCUAAUACCGCAUAACCAUACAUGCCCCCUGGGAACUAUGUAAAAAGCGGCUGUGCUGCCGCAUGUGGACGGGCCCGAGGCGCAUGAUCUAGGUGGAGGGGCAAAGGCUUGCCACGACAAUGAUGCGGACCCAAACUGAGAAGUGGAUCGGCCACAUUGAGACUGAGACCCGGCCCAAACUCCAACCGGAGGCAGCGGAAAGGAAUCUUCGACAAAGGGCGAGAGCCUGAUGGACCAACGCCGCGUGGAUGAAGAACGUCUUCGGAUCGUAAAACCCUGUUGUUAGAGAAGAAAGUGUGUGUGAGUAGCUGUUCAAGUUUUGACGGUAUCUGACCAGAAAGCCCCGGCUAACUACGUGCCAGCAGCCGCGGUAAUACGUAGGUGGCAAGCGUUAUCCGGAUUUAUUGGGUGUAAAGGGAGCGCAGGCGGUGUUUUAAGUCUGAUGUGAAAGCCUUGGGCCCAACCGCAGUAGUGCUUUGGAAACUGGGAGACUUGAGUGCAGAAGAGGUGAGUGGAAUUCCUUGUGUAGCGGUGAAAUGCGUAGAUAUAUGGAGGAACACCAGUGGCGAAAGCGGCUUUCUGGUCUGUAACUGACGUUGAGGUUCGAAAGCGUGGGUAGCAAACAGGAUUAGAUACCCUGGUAGUCCACGCCGUAAACGAUG
rnacentral:rRNA from 1 species